rnacentral:rRNA from 1 species
UACAGAGACUGCAAGCGUUAUUCGGAUUCACUGGGCGUAAAGGGUGCGCAGGCGGCCAAGUGUGUGAGGCGUGAAAGCCUGGGGCUUAACCCCAGAAUUGCACCUCAAACUACUUGGCUAGAGCAUUGGAGAGGGUAGCAGAAUUCAUGGUGUAGCAGUGAAAUGCGUAGAUAUCAUGAGGAAUACCAGAGGCGAAGGCGGCUGCCUGGACAAUUGCUGACGCUCAGGCACGAAAGCGUGGGGAGCAAAAGGG